GGGAAUAUUGCACAAUGGGGGAAACCCUGAUGCAGCGAUGCCGCGUGGAGGAAGAAGGUUUUCGGAUUGUAAACUCCUUUUAUCAGGGACGAUAAUGACGGUACCUGAAGAAAAAGCUCCGGCUAACUACGUGCCAGCAGCCGCGGUAAUACGUAGGGAGCGAGCGUUGUCCGGAAUUACUGGGUGUAAAGGGAGCGCAGACGGCAGCGCAAGUCCGGGGUGAAAGCCCGCGGCCCAACCGCGGGACUGCCCUGGAAACUGUGCGGCUGGAGUGCCGGAGAGGUAAGCGGAAUUCCUAGUGUAGCGGUGAAAUGCGUAGAUAUUAGGAGGAACACCAGUGGCGAAGGCGGCUUACUGGACGGUAACUGACGUUGAGGCUCGAAAGCGUGGGGAGCAAACAGG
rnacentral:rRNA from 1 species